CCCUUAGACGUUCUGGGCCGCACGCGCGCUACACUGACAAAGGCAACGAGCUACUCUUCACCGAAAGGUGUGGGUAAUCUUUUGAAACUUUGUCGUGCUGGGGAUAGAUCCUUGCAAUUUUUGAUCUUAAACGAGGAAUCCCUAGUAAGCGCAAGUCAUCAACUUGCGUUGAUUACGUCCCUGCCCUUUGUACACACCGCCCGUCGCUACUACCGAUUGAAUGGUUUAGUGAGGCCUUCGGAUCCGCGACUCGUUUGUGGAGAAGUUGGACAAACUCAGUCAUUUAGAGGAAGUAAAAGUCGUAACA
rnacentral:rRNA from 1 species